ensembl:snoRNA
GAUGCUGGGGUAUUGAAAGGACAGCAUGAUAGAAAUUCAGGAUCUGACAUCUUUAUUUUUUUGGCUUUAUGCAAGUUAUACCUGAUUUAUUUCUACUGAUAAAGUA